ACCACCACACCUAGCUAAUUUUUGUAUUUUUAGUAAAGACGGGGUUUCACCACGUUGGCCAGGCUGGGCUUGAACUCCUGACCUCAGGUGAUCUGCCCGCCUCAGCCUCCCAAAGUGCUGGGAUUACAGGUUUGAGCCACCACGUCCGGCCUGUUCCCCUUUUAGAGAUGGGAACGAGAGGCGCAUCAACGCGUCCAGCAUCCUUGAGGGGUCCGUGAGGGGCCCGGGCUGAGGCCCAUCCUUCCCUGGGACACCCUGCCUGCUUUUCCCAACUCCUCCACUGACACUGUCCCUCCAGGGAGGCUCCCAGGUGGGGAACAAGCUCAGGAAGUCGUGCCCAGCUCUCAGGCCCGCCUUGCCUAACCUCCCCAUCAGCGCCCACCCGGGCCCGGGCCCAGAGCCACAGCAUGCACACCCUGGCUGGGCCCUCCUGGAGCCUGCCUGCUCCCCAGGCAGGGACCUUCUGGACCAACCGACCCUGCUCCCGGGUGACUCUGUCCUGCAGCCUCAGGCGUCACCUCUGGAGAGACCAUCCCCGCUGUCCCAUCACCCUCCUCACUGUGUGUGUGACUCCCUGUCCACCUGUCUGUGUUUGCUGCUGGUCCUCCCUCUGCAGGAGCUGCCAGAGCCUAGAGCUGUGCCCUGUCCAUGCUCGGGGCACAGGGCUUGCGGGGUGGGGGCUGUCCUGCUGAGGCGGUGACCCUGUGGGCUAAGGUCUCCCUUUGGCCAGGCAGGGGUGCUGGAAGGCGGUCCCCAACUUCCAUCCAGCUGCAUUCCCACUGCAGCCACAGGUACUCCUGCCGGCCUCCCACCCGGCCUGCAGAGCCCCAGGCAGUCGGCUCAGCGCGUGUGGAUGUCGCCCUCUGGCUGUGUCGGGAUCACCGUCACGGACAACUAUGAAGUGACGAUGGCUGGGGGCCCGUUUGAAGGGUGAAGACUUUGGUGCCUGGGCAUGCGCAGAGCUGGAAGGGACCGGGAAUCCCCUCAUCCAACUCGCUCAUGCUACAGGCAGGGAAACUGAGGCCCCAGCCCCUGCUUGAUUUGCGUCCAGCCCCCAGCACAGGAUGAAGCCUCGGGCCCCUCCCUGGGCUGACGGUGGGAAUGGCUGUGCAGACAGCAGGAGGCACUGUGGCUAGAUGUCAGCAGGACCGUUUUGGCUGGAGCCAGCAGAGCCAGGCUUCUGGGAGGGCUCUGGCUUCGGGCAGGCUCAGGGCUUGGGCCCCGGACACAGACUGAGGGACCUCCAAAGCUCUGUCUUCCGCCAGAGGCAGAUCCUCUGUGGAAAAAGGUGGGGUUUUCUCACAGGGCCAGCUGGGCACUGGACAGGGAGGCCUGCUGAUCUCCUCAGCCCACAGCUGUCCCGGCUGAGCCAGAUGCGCCAGCUCGGGAACCGUGGACCAAGUGUACUGGUCUGGGGAUGUCAGGAGCAGGGCCUGGUCCCCAGGGAGGGGCAGUCGGGAGGUUGACCGCUCUGCCACCUGCUCACAGGGCUCGCCGGCUGAUCGAGGCCUCACCCGGUGCUGGUGUCACAGCCUCUGCGCCCGGUCACAGGAGGCGGCAGGGCCGGCUGGGCCUGAUUUUUCUGGCGGGGGCGGGACACUGACCAAGCCCAUUGCAGGACAGACCUGUCUGCCCAGAUCCAGGCGACGGGGCCCUCUGACCAUUGUUCACUGCGUCCAGGUGCCCAGAGCUGUGGGGAGGCUGAGAAGCCGCCCAGCCAGUCCCACACCCUGGCCCUGGCACAGCCACCUCCUCCUGCUCUCAUGAGAAACCCGGCUGAGGGCCCAUGAGCUGUUGCCUGGUUCCAGGCCGGCUGCCCUGCUAGUGCCCACCCCGACCCCCUGCCUGCCCGUCUCUCUGCAGAUGCGGACAGGCAUGGUGUACCCCCCUGCCUGCCUCCUUCACUGCUGGGUGGAACUCGGGGCGCCCAGGAGCCGCCUCCUCAGGGCUGGCUCAUUUGAUGUCCCAGGCUGAGCUGCACACUAGGGGGAUGAGGUGACCGGUGGGCACCCAUCUCAGACACCCGGCUUCCCAGGUCCCGCGGCCCUCCCCUGGGGGCCCUGGCCAGCAGUUCACCAAGGCAGCAGCCCCGGGUGUGAGCAGGGGGUGACAGGGAUGGGGCUCCACAUCCUCCCGGCUCUGCUUCUGGGAUUCCCCCGGCUCCUGUCCACGGGCACGGCCUCCUGAGAGCCGCGUGGGGCGGGCAGGCAGCAUGGCCUCCUGGUGACCCACAUGCCCCCUCCUCACUGGGGCCGGGGAGCAGCCCCCACAGCCAGGAGGAGCAGGCCCUGGACCACAUGCCACAAGCUGGGGCCUGGCUCUGGCUGUGUGAGGUGUCUGUGACCUCAGGCAGAGCCUAUGCCAGCCUGGGCCUGUCUCCACCGGCAAGAGCUAUGCGGCAGGUCAGGGAGGCCGGGCCAGGGCCUCAGGUUGGCCUCCCUGUCAUCUGCCCUUCUAGGGACGUAGGCUGCUGCAUGGGAGAGCCAGCCUGGCCAGGCCCUGGGACUCAGCUCCACUGUCUCAGCUGACCUGGCGACCUGGCAGGUCAUAGGGGGGCGCUUGCCUCAGCUUCUGACUCUCGAGCAAUUCUGUUCUGCCUGAGCCCAUCAGCCCCAGAUCCCAGGGUGGGGCCGUCCCAAGGAUCUGCUCUCUUCCUCCCAUAGGUCUCCCGUCCUGUCCUCCGGGGCCAAGCCCCCACCUCCCUGCUCCUGUCCCUGGUCCCUCUGUUGCCCCCAUCCCCAGAAAGUCACCCAGGGCCUGCCUAUACUUGCCUUCACCUGAGGGAGCUGCCAGCCCUGGGCGUGUACGGGUCGGGGGCACCCUUUCAUCUGGAGCCAGGAUGGGGGGUGCUCGUCUGGCCUGGACUUGCCAGGCUGGCUGGAGACCCUGUUUGGUGUCCAGGUGCCGUCCUGGGGCCCAGCCUCUGAGGUGGCGGUGAGGCUUAGGGGUUGGCGGACUGUGAUUCUCCGAAUUUCAAGGUACCUAAGGCAGUAAACCCCCAACUCCCUGGAAGGGCCCACUGGGCGCUCACUUCGCUCCAGAGCCUCGCCUGGUUUCCGCUUCGGGAUCCGGUCACCCAACCCAGCUCUCCAGUUGCUGCUGUUUCUCGUGAGACUGUCAGAGUGAAGGGGUCCAAAGCUCCGACUUCCAGCCUCAGAAAUCCCAACUCAGGCAGGAUCAGCGAAGCGUCCCUCGCAGUGGCUGGAGGGAGAGCCAGGCGGGGCCCAGGCUGCCACUUAUCAGGGCUGUAAAUGCCACCCUGAGGCCCACGCCUGCCAACACUGCUCCCCACAAGACUAAGUCCUGCAGCCUCAGCCCAGAAGGACCCGCGCCUACCCCCACACGGAGGUCAUGUUCAGCCACACCCCAGUGAACCCUGGCGACCCACCCCACAGUGCCCUGCCCUCCCGUGCUCCUCUCUCCUGACCUCUGUGCACGCUGCUCCCUUGACAGAAGCGUCCCCCCUCCCUUGCUAUGCAGGAUUCAGAGGACAGCGUCUGUCCCCAGCUGCAGCACGGUAACGGGCACACACAUUAAGAUAGUAAGAGAUGUCCGCUGACGGCCACCAGCUUCCCAGCAGGCUCAGAGAAGUUACUGGAGUUGGAGCUGGGUGACAGCGUGCACAGGCCCAAGCAUGGGAUCCACCCAGUUCCUGGGAACUACGUCCCUCUGCGUUUCUGCCCAACAAGCUUCCCUUCAUGAAGCCCAUGAAACUGAACUCAUGCUGUGCGGCUGCAAUGUCUCGCUACUGUUAAGGAGGACAGUGAAGUAUUUUGGGAUACACAUUCGCUUUUAAUAAAAAAGAAAUUUCCUCCUACAA
rnacentral:lncRNA from 1 species